UUCGACCAGUAUUAAAUGUUCGUUAAAAAAUUUCGUAGUACGAAAAUGAUGGCACGAUUACUCUCUAAGCGUUUACACUGCCGUUACUGUACACUUUGCCACCUGUCUGUGUUUUGAACUGACUUCCUCCAGUUGUUAUUAAUUAUAGAUCUGCAGUAAAAUACUAACAGUUACAUAAAGUAUAAACUCUAUGUCGUCUUUUAUAUUUGUUGUCAGGUAGUA